rnacentral:lncRNA from 1 species
UUUUAUUUUCAAACAUGUUAAAACAAGCGGGAAUAGAGUGUUCGAGCCUUCUCAUACCAUGAUUAGUUCGCGAAUAAGGUACGAACCAGGAAGGCCUUUUCCGAAUGUCAUAAUGGGAUUGUGUAGUUUUCCUGAGGUUACACAGUUUAAGAAAACAAGCGUUGUUUGA